rnacentral:rRNA from 1 species
AAUGGCGGGCAGCUACACAUGCAAGUCGAACGGUAGCACAGAGAGCUUGCUCUCGGGUGACGAGUGGCGGACGGGUGAGUAAUGUCUGGGAAACUGCCUGAUGGAGGGGGAUAACUACUGGAAACGGUAGCUAAUACCGCAUAACGUCGCAAGACCAAAGAGGGGGACCUUCGGGCCUCUUGCCAUCAGAUGUGCCCAGAUGGGAUUAGCUAGUAGGUGGGGUAACGGCUCACCUAGGCGACGAUCCCUAGCUGGUCUGAGAGGAUGACCAGCCACACUGGAACUGAGACACGGUCCAGACUCCUACGGGAGGCAGCAGUGGGGAAUAUUGCACAAUGGGCGCAAGCCUGAUGCAGCCAUGCCGCGUGUAUGAAGAAGGCCUUCGGGUUGUAAAGUACUUUCAGCGGGGAGGAAGGUGUUGCGGUUAAUAACCGCAGCAAUUGACGUUACCCGCAGAAGAAGCACCGGCUAACUCCGUGCCAGCAGCCGCGGUAAUACGGAGGGUGCAAGCGUUAAUCGGAAUUACUGGGCGUAAAGCGCACGCAGGCGGUCUGUCAAGUCGGAUGUGAAAUCCCCGGGCUCAACCUGGGAACUGCAUUCGAAACUGGCAGGCUAGAGUCUUGUAGAGGGGGGUAGAAUUCCAGGUGUAGCGGUGAAAUGCGUAGAGAUCUGGAGGAAUACCGGUGGCGAAGGCGGCCCCCUGGACAAAGACUGACGCUCAGGUGCGAAAGCGUGGGGAGCAAACAGGAUUAGAUACCCUGGUAGUCCACGCCGUAAACGAUGUCGACUUGGAGGUUGUGCCCUUGAGGCGUGGCUUCCGGAGCUAACGCGUUAAGUCGACCGCCUGGGGAGUACGGCCGCAAGGUUAAAACUCAAAUGAAUUGACGGGGGCCCGCACAAGCGGUGGAGCAUGUGGUUUAAUUCGAUGCAACGCGAAGAACCUUACCUACUCUUGACAUCCAGAGAACUUUCCAGAGAUGGAUUGGUGCCUUCGGGAACUCUGAGACAGGUGCUGCAUGGCUGUCGUCAGCUCGUGUUGUGAAAUGUUGGGUUAAGUCCCGCAACGAGCGCAACCCUUAUCCUUUGUUGCCAGCGGUCCGGCCGGGAACUCAAAGGAGACUGCCAGUGAUAAACUGGAGGAAGGUGGGGAUGACGUCAAGUCAUCAUGGCCCUUACGAGUAGGGCUACACACGUGCUACAAUGGCGCAUACAAAGAGAAGCGAACUCGCGAGAGCAAGCGGACCUCAUAAAGUGCGUCGUAGUCCGGAUUGGAGUCUGCAACUCGACUCCAUGAAGUCGGAAUCGCUAGUAAUCGUAGAUCAGAAUGCUACGGUGAAUACGUUCCCGGGCCUUGUACACACCGCCCGUCACACCAUGGGAGUGGGUUGCAAAAGAAGUAGGUAGCUUAACCUUCGGGAGGGCGCUACCACUUUGAUGUU